UCCUGACUGACCGAUAGUGAACCAGUACCGUGAGGGAAAGGCGAAAAGAACCCCGGCGAGGGGAGUGAAAAAGAACCUGAAACCGUGUACGUACAAGCAGUGGGAGCACGCUUAGGCGUGUGACUGCGUACCUUUUGUAUAAUGGGUCAGCGACUUAUAUUCUGUAGCAAGGUUAACCGAAUAGGGGAGCCGAAGGGAAACCGAGUCUUAACUGGGCGUUAAGUUGCAGGGUAUAGACCCGAAACCCGGUGAUCUAGCCAUGGGCAGGUUGAAGGUUGGGUAACACUAACUGGAGGACCGAACCGACUAAUGUUGAAAAAUUAGCGGAUGACUUGUGGCUGGGGGUGAAAGGCCAAUCAAACCGGGAGAUAGCUGGUUCUCCCCGAAAGCUAUUUAGGUAGCGCCUCGUGAAUUCAUCUCCGGGGGUAGAGCACUGUUUCGGCAAGGGGGUCAUCCCGACUUACCAACCCGAUGCAAACUGCGAAUACCGG
rnacentral:rRNA from 1 species